rnacentral:rRNA from 1 species
GAACGCGAAGAACCUUACCUGGGCUUGACAUUGAUAGAAUCCUAUAGAGAUAUGGGAGUGCCAGUUUACUGGAGCUUGAAAACAGGUGCUGCACGGCUGUCGUCAGCUCGUGUCGUGAGAUGUUGGGUUAAGUCCCGCAACGAGCGCAACCCUCGUCACUAGUUGCUAACGGUUCGGCCGAGCACUCUAGUGAGACUGCCUUCGCAAGGAGGAGGAAGGUGAGGACGACGUCAAGUCAUCAUGGCCCUUACGCCCAGGGCUACACACGUGCUACAAUGGUGUGUACAAAGAGAAGCAAUACCGCGAGGUGGAGCAAAUCUUUAAAACACAUCUCAGUUCGGAUUGUAGUCUGCAACUCGACUACAUGAAGCUGGAAUCGCUAGUAAUCGUAGAUCAGCAAUGCUACGGUGAAUACGUUCCCGGGUCUUGUACUCACCG